rnacentral:rRNA from 1 species
UACGUAGGGUGCGAGCGUUGUCCGGAAUUAUUGGGCGUAAAGGGCUCGUAGGCGGUUUGUCGCGUCGGGAGUGAAAACUCAGGGCUUAACCCCGAGCCUGCUUCCGAUACGGGCAGACUAGAGGUAUGCAGGGGAGAACGGAAUUCCUGGUGUAGCGGUGAAAUGCGCAGAUAUCAGGAGGAACACCGGUGGCGAAGGCGGUUCUCUGGGCAUUACCUGACGCUGAGGAGCGAAAGUGUGGGGAGCGAACAGG